rnacentral:rRNA from 1 species
GCUUGAGCACGUAGGUGGGUUUGUAAGUCAGAUGUGAAAGCCUUCUGUUCAACGGAAGAAUUGCAUCUGAAACUGCGAGUCUUGAGUGUAGGAGGGGGGAAUGGAACUUCUGGUGGAGCGGUGAAAUGCGUAGAUAUCAGAAGGAACGCCGGCGGCGAAAGCGAUUCUCUGGCCUAUUACUGACACUCAGUGUGUGAAAGCUAGGGGAGCAAACGGGAUUAGAUACCCCGGUAGUCCUAGCCGUAAACGAUGGGCACUAAGUAGAGGGAAUUACCGAUAUUCUCUCUGCCGUAGCUAACGCAUUAAGUGCCCCGCCUGGGGAGUACGGCCGCAAGGCUAAAACUCAAAAGAAUUGACGGGGGCUCGCACAAGCGGUGGAGCAUGUGGCUUAAUUCGAUGCAACGCGAAAAACCUUACCGGGGCUUGACAUGGUAGAAGUAGGAACCCGAAAGGGUAACGAACGGUAUCCAGUCCGUAGCUAUCACAGGUGUUGCAUGGCUGUCGUCAGCUCAUGUCGUGAGACGUUGGGUUAAGUCCCCUAACGAGCGAAACCCUUGUUUUUAGUUACCAGCGGGUUGUGCCGGGUACUCUAGAAAGACUGCCGUCGUCAAGACGGAGGAAGGUGGGGAUGACGUCAAGUCAUCAUGGCCCUUAUGCCCCGGGCUGCACACGUGCUACAAUGGUCGGUACAAACGGAUGCGAAGCCGAGAGGUGAAGCGAAUCCAAGC